UGAAAUCUGGCUCUUGUAGUCCGAGUUGUAAUUUGUAGAGGAUGCUUUUGGUGAGGUGCCUUCCGAGUUCCCUGGAACGGGACGCCAUAGAGGGUGAGAGCCCCGUCUGGUCGGACACCGAUCCUCUGUAAAGCUCCUUCGACGAGUCGAGUAGUUUGGGAAUGCUGCUCUAAAUGGGAGGUAUAUGUCUUCUAAAGCUAAAUAUUGGCCAGAGACCGAUAGCGCACAAGUAGAGUGAUCGAAAGAUGAAAAGCACUUUGAAAAGAGGGUUAAACAGUACGUGAAAUUGUUGAAAGGGAAGCGCUUAUGACCAGACUUGGGCCCGGUUAAUCAUCCAGCGUUCUCGCUGGUGCACUUGGCCGGCCCAGGCCAGCAUCAGUUCGGCGCGGGGGAUAAAGGCUUUAGGAAUGUGGCUCCCUCGGGAGUGUU
rnacentral:rRNA from 1 species